UACGGGGGGGGCAAGCGUUUGUUCGGAAUUAUUGGGCGUAAAGGGCGCGUAGGCGGCUUUGCAAGUGGCGGGUGAAAUCCCUCGGCUUAACCGAGGAACUGCCUGCCAGACUGUGAGGCUUGAGACCGGGAGAGGUGAGUGGAAUUCCCAGUGUAGCGGUGAAAUGCGUAGAUAUUGGGAGGAACACCAGUGGCGAAGGCGGCUCACUGGACCGGAACUGACGCUGAGGCGCGAAAGCGUGGGGAGCAAACA
rnacentral:rRNA from 1 species